UUAGAGGGCAGAUUUGGUGGAGAGAGU
rnacentral:piRNA from 1 species